rnacentral:lncRNA from 1 species
ACAACUAAAUAACAUAAUACACAAAACAAAACAAAAUCCACAAUAAAUAAAAAAUAAAAAAAAAAAAACAAAAAAACAAAAAACAGGAGCUCUGGUGUUGGGUUUGAGGGAUAGGAAAAUCAAUUACUCAUCCUGGUCUGGUCCUGCAGCUGAAUUCCCCACCACAACCCACCCUGCUGUAGGGAAAGAGGGAAUUAAUCACGGAUAUUAGACUGAAGCGAGCCCAUCCCAGCCAGUCCUGCCCAGCUGCGGCGUUGUCUCCAUUUCAGUGCCCAUCCCUCCCAAACUCCCAGCCCUGGUCUCCAGGAGACUGUAAACAAUCAGCUGAACCCGAUGCUCCUUUUUCCAGCAUUGUGUCCCGCCCGGAGCAGGCACGCUCUGCUUUCUGCCACCUCCCCUGCCAUGACAAAUUUAGACAGCUUGGGUCGUGUCCUCCCAGCUGGGCGAUGACACCAGGCUCCUGCUCAGCAAAUCUGCCUGGAGCAAUCGAGGGUGGGAAGAUGCGUUUGGAAUUCUGCUCUCGAGGUCUCCUUGAACGCUGAUCUCUGGGAGCUGCCAGGAGCAUCCUCUGCGGCAUCUCCUGGUGACCCAUGGCAGCUCCACGGGGUCUGUGCCACCUCCACGGGGUCUGUGCCACCUCCACGGGGUCUGUGCCACCUCCACGGGGUCUGUGCCACCUCCCCGGGUCUGUGCCACCUCCACGGGGUCUGUGCCACCUCCUGGUGACCCAUGGCAGCUCCACGGGGUCUGUGCCACCUCCUGGCGAUCCGUGUCAGAUCUCUGCAGGCGCGCAGCUGAUGCAGAGGCAGGAGCAGCUCUUCACUUUCCCCGCAGCAGGACAGCCCCAGCAUGGGGGGAGCAUCUCCCUGCCCGCCACGGAUUUCCCACAAAGAACACGGAGCAUCUCCUGUCUAGCCAAGGGGGGGCUGGUGUCACUCCUCAGCUCCUGUGGCCCACCAGGGAUCAUCUCCACAAGCUGUGCUGAUGUUCCUGAAGCACGGAAGAGGGGAAAGCUGCUGGGAUGCCAGAGAGCUGCACGUUCUGGGAAGAACAAGAAGCCAACAUUAAACAGUAAAAAAGGGAGCUGGGAGCCAAA